AGAGGAUAAAUACUGGAAGGUUUUAUUCUUCAAAGCUUCGGCACCUGAGGAUGGGACUGCGUCGGAUUAGCUUGUUGUCGGGAUAAUUACCCGACAAGGCGAUAAUCCGUACGGGUUGUGAGAGCAAUAGCCCGGAGAUGGAUUCUGAGACAUGAAUCCAGGUCCUACGGGACGCAGCAGGCGCGAAACCUUCACAAUGCCUGAAAGGGUGAUGAGGGAACUCUGAGUGACUUCGCAAUGCGAAGUCUUUUGCCAAGUGCAAAAAGCUCGGUGAAUAAGUGGUGGGCAAGACAGUUGCCAGCCGCCGCGGUAAUAACUGCGCCACGAGUGGUGAUCUCGUUUAUUGGGCUUAAAGCGUUCGUAGCCGGUUUUAUAAGCAUCUGGUGAAAUCCGAUAGUAAACUAUUGGGCUGGCUAGGUGUACUGUAAGACUAGGGACCGGUAGGGGCCGGGAGUACUCCUAGGGUAGGGGUUAAAUCCUUUAAUCCUAGGGGGACUACCAGUGGCGAAGGCGCCCGGCUAGAACGGGUCCGACGGUGAGGGACGAAAGCUGGGGGAGCGAUCCGGAUUAGAUACCCGGGUAGUCCCAGCUGUAAACGAUGCCCGCUUGGUGUGGUGAAACUUUCGUGGUUUUGCCGUACCGUAGCG
rnacentral:rRNA from 1 species